GGGGAAUAUUGGACAAUGGGCGCAAGCCUGAUCCAGCCAUACCGCGUGGGUGAAGAAGGCCUUCGGGUUGUAAAGCCCUUUUGUUGGGAAAGAAAAGCAGUCGGUUAAUACCCGGUUGUUCUGACGGUACCCAAAGAAUAAGCACCGGCUAACUUCGUGCCAGCAGCCGCGGUAAUACGAAGGGUGCAAGCGUUACUCGGAAUUACUGGGCGUAAAGCGUGCGUAGGUGGUUGUUAAGUCGGUUGUGAAAGCCCUGGGCUCAACCUGGGAAUUGCAGUGGAUACUGGGCGACUAGAGUGUGGUAGAGGGUAGUGGAAUUCCCGGUGUAGCAGUGAAAUGCGUAGAGAUCGGGAGGAACAUCCAUGGCGAAGGCAGCUACCUGGACCAACACUGACACUGAGGCACGAAAGCGUGGGGAGCAAAC
rnacentral:rRNA from 1 species